UACGUAGGUGGCAAGCGUUGUCCGGAUUUACUGGGCGUAAAGAGCGCGCAGGCGGUCGUUCAAGUCGAGUGUGAAAGCCCCCGGCUCAACUGGGGAGGGUCACUCGAUACUGAUCGACUCGAAGGCAGAAGAGGGAAGCGGAAUUCCCGGUGUAGUGGUGAAAUGCGUAGAUAUCGGGAGGAACACCAGUGGCGAAGGCGGCAUCCUGGACCGACACUGACGCUGAGGAGCGAAAGCCAGGGGAGCAAACGGG
rnacentral:rRNA from 1 species